rnacentral:lncRNA from 1 species
UUAGCCGAAAUGGGCGAGUUUUCUCCCAUUUUCGGCCACAGCAAGCUUCCGACCUUCCCUUUGCAACUCUUGUGUUCUUCCUCCAAAUCUCUUCCAUUUUUCUUGAGUUUUAAACUCACAUUGCAAGUUUUGAGCAUUUAAACCAAGUUUUGGAGCUUUGGGAACUCAGGAGCUCAUUUUCGUGGAUCUCCAAGUUUAGGUCGUCUCCCUCUCGAUCUUCAAGAGGUAAGAGCCGAUCUUAAGCUCCUUAUGUAUUCUAAAUAAGUUUUAAGCAAGAUCUAUGGGUAGAAAUGCAUGUUAGGUUAUAUGUUGAGUUAUGGGUUAAUAUUGAUGUUUUGGACAAUGUGUGUUGAUUGUGUGUGUUUGAAGUGUUGUAGUUGGGGUAUAUGACUGUUUGAGACCCCUAGGAACUUGUAUGCAUGUUUUGGUUGAGACUUAUGCAUGAUUUGAGGUUUUAGGAGGCAAGGGGUUCAUGUGAACCAAGUUUCUGCCCUUCUGGCAGAAACCAGGUUCGGCCGCCGAAGGGAGUUUCGGCCGCCGAACCCCCUUGUGGAGGCAGCAUUCGGCUGCCGAAGCUUGCCCCCGAAAGAAGACUUUCGGAUCUGUCUGGGACUUUCGGCCGCCGAAGGUGCCGCCGAAAGUGCCCGACUUUCGGCUCUAGAGGGGCUUUCAGCCGCCGAACCUGCCGCCGAAAGUGCCCUGUUCAGCCAUUUCUUGCAUGUUUUUAUGUGAUGUUUUCAUGGUGUUUUAGGGGGUUUUUGGGGAGUAGUUUAUGGUUAUGUUCAGGUAUGUUUGGUCCCUCAUUUGAGUCCACCUGUGUAGGUUCGGACCCGAGGAACCGAGGACCCCAGCAGUGAGUCCAGCUGCUUCGGUGCUGUCAGAGUCUGCCAGAGGUGAGUGGAACUAAACUAUAUCUUUUAGAUUAAAUGUUUUAUCAUGUUUCAUGCAUCAUGAUCAUGCAAUAGGGUGAUUGCAUUAGUUUCACGAAUAUGCCGCAUUGCAUCAUGUGUUGUUGAUGUGGGUGAAUGUUGGAUGACCCAAUUAGUCCAUGACAGGAAGACCAGGACCCCAUUCUACGGCCUGGCACGGAAAUGAAAGACCAGGACCCCAUUCUACGGCCUGGCACGAUUGUGGACUCGAAGACCAGGAGUCCAGAGGAGGCCCUGGAAUAAUGGUAAGUAAUGUAUGUAUGACAGGAAGACCAGGACCCCAUGCUACGGCCUGGCACCAUGUUAGCUUGGAC